rnacentral:lncRNA from 1 species
AAAAAAUUGAGAGAGGGGUUGACACAAAUAUGACAUUUGCUGGUAAGGCACGUAAUGGAGCGGUGACCACAUAAGAGGAUUCGUUGUACAAGAAGUAUGUCAAGGAGCGAGAACGGAAACAUUUAACCAAAACCCAAAUAUUCCUCCCCAAGUUCCUUCCUUUACAUGUUAAGUGCUAAAAAAAAAGGGAAACAACCACAAAGUUGGCAACGUUUUCCACCAUUAUAUCCUUUCCCCCUUUCUAUUGAACUUUGACUUUAUCGGACUUUAAGUUCACACAUAGUGAGACCCCUCGGCCGUAGCAGUUUAAACCUUUUUAAAAUACAGAAUGGAUUGAAGGCAACUGCAUUUGAUGCCUUUUCCUCCUUUUUCAUUUGCACUGAUUAUUAUUAAAUUAUUCAUUUUUUUUUUUUAGCGGAUAAAAAGUUAGGAAGAUCGUGUUCAAUAUCCUUUGACUCGCCAACUGGUAGAGUCGUUCUAUAGGCACACGGACCGCUGAACGAAUGGAGAUGGUAAAUAUGCGCCAUUAACUUGCUGUUCUCACUGAUGUUCAAUCGAGGGAAAUAAAAGAAAAAGUGGAAGCAGAUGAUAACCGGACUGAUUCCGAUCAAUUGAGAAUUUUCUCAAAUGACGACAAAAAUAUGUGCUACCCCACCCACAUCCUACUGGGAGUGACCAGUCCUAUUUGUCUUUUAUCUCAGAAAUGUACUCCGAAUAGUUACCAAAAGGGUUUUUCUAAACAUUUUUUUUUCUCUUUCCGUUUCCACUAGGAUUGCUUUAGUUGUCGGUCGUCUCGCUAGAUGGCACAAUCGAAAAGGUUAUUUGUACGCCGCUAGGUGGCUAAAAGUGUGUCCAACUCCAACACAUGUCCAACAGGUGGCGCGAAUCGAUAAACACUAACAUUCAUUCACAGUAUUCAGCCAUUUUUGUUGUGUUGGGUUUCCAACUUUCCUAGUGAAAUUUUGUUGCUAUACAAUACAAUACAAUUUAAUUUCUCGACAUUUCGCGUCAUUAACAUUAAAAAGGUUUUCUAGCCUAUAAUUUCCAUUUGCAUUUGGUCAAUUGAUUUGAUCGGGCGAGUCUUGAAACCUUUGUAAAAUUUCCCGAAAUGUCGUGCCUGUACCAGUUGUCGUGUUACCUCCUGCAGAAACACUUUACAUGGAAAGUAUAUUGAAGUCAUUUUGAGACACUACAUAGUUUUGGUUACUCCCAGUAUGUCCAAUGUGUAGCAUGACUAGCAUCACAUUGAUUGUAGUCCUGGAAGAACUGCUACUUUGCAUCACCACAGUUUAAAACAUUUCAGCGACAGAGUUCCACUACAGCAUAUCCUUUACAGAUGUGGCUGAAAUUAUGUCUGCUAGAUGGCGCGAGUGUCUUCGUUACUCAAGACGAAAUUCCGCCAUUUCUUAAAACACUGAUUGGAAACCACAUGUUGAAAACGUAUCGUUGGAUUGGAUACUUAAUACGGCGUACUUUUCUUUCUUGACAUUUUUAUUCGUAAUAAUGGUAUCUAUCUGGUAACAGCCUAUAAUUUCUACAUGGCAAUUUCAUCUGAUCAUGUGGCCUGAGCAGCUGAACAAAUUUGCCAAAAUGUCUCUUUUUCCUGUACCAGCUUCACGUUUGUCAGAAACACUUCAGAACAAUUCAGGAUUAACACCCUGGUAUCUGGUAACAGCCUAUAAUUUCUACAUGGCAAUUUCAUCUGAUCAUGUGGCCUGAGCAGCUGAACAUUUUGCCAAAAUGUCUCUUUUUCCUGUACCAGCUUCACGUUUGUCAGAAACACUUCAGAACAAUUUGGGAUUAACACCCUGGUGGAGUUUGAGCUUCUUUGUUGCUGCCCAACUUACACAUGGAUUUGACGUAGCCAGCUGAGGGCUUUAAUUCUUGUUGAUCAUGUAUGUUCGUGUAGUUGCUGUCCGAUGUGGCACGUUGUUGCAGCCUAUGCUGGUGAAAGAUCUUUCUAUAUCAAGUUCAAUUGGCCGUUCCUUGGUGAUGUUGUGUUACCGAAGUUGCAUCAUAUUUUGUUAAAUUGUCAUCGCGACUAUUGCAGUUUAUAAGUUCAGGAGCAACAAAAAAAAUUUGGGAUGUUUAUAUCAACAAAUAAUAAACAUGUUUCCGGGAUUGGGAAAGGAAAGUAGAGGAUGUUGGAGGGGGGGAGGGAGGAUAUUUCAAGUUUGGAUAAAAAUUCAGUUAAUCUAUAACCCUACAAAUGUUGCCCUACCAAUUAAUCUCCAAACCCCACAAACAUAUACCUUCCAAUGCUUCAAAUCCUGAAAACAUACACCUACUAACCCUUAAAUUUAUACCUUUAACCCUAAAAACCAAUGUUAUCACA